rnacentral:rRNA from 1 species
ACGCGUGGAUAAUCUGCCCUUUAGUUGGGAAUAACUCAUCGAAAGGUGGGCUAAUACCGAAUAAUACUGGAUGGCCUCGGCUGUCCAGUCAAAGAUGGCCUCUGCUUGCAAGCUGUCGCUGAAGGAUGAGUCCGCGUACCAUUAGCUUGUUGGUAGGGUAAUGGCCUACCAAGGCGACGAUGGUUAGCUGGUCUGAGAGGAUGAUCAGCCACACUGGAACUGAGAUACGGUCCAGACUCCUACGGGAGGCAGCAGUGAGGAAUCUUGCGCAAUGGGGGCAACCCUGACGCAGCAACGCCGCGUGAGUGAGGAAGGCCUUCGGGUCGUAAAGCUCUGUCGGUUGGGAAGAAAUGCAUGGAGGUGAAUAGUCUUCAUGCUUGACGGUACCAAUAAAGGAAGCACCGGCUAACUCCGUGCCAGCAGCCGCGGUAAUACGGGGGGUGCAAGCGUUGUUCGGAAUCAUUGGGCGUAAAGAGCGUGUAGGCGGUUAGAUAAGUCAGAUGUGAAAGCCCUGGGCUCAACCCAGGAAGUGCAUUUGAAACUGUCUUACUUGAGUACGGGAGAGGAAAGUGGAAUUCCUGGUGUAGAGGUGAAAUUCGUAGAUAUCAGGAGGAACACCGGUGGCGAAGGCGACUUUCUGGCCCGACACUGACGCUGAGACGCGAGAGCGUGGGUAGCAAACAGGAUUAGAUACCCUGGUAGUCCACGCCGUAAACGAUGUUCACUAGGUGUUGGGGGUAUUGACCCCCUCAGUGCCGCAGCUAACGCAUUAAG